rnacentral:rRNA from 1 species
UACGUAGGGUGCGAGCGUUGUCCGGAAUUAUUGGGCGUAAAGAGCUCGUAGGCGGCCUGUCGCGUCGGAUGUGAAAGCCCGGGGCUUAACCCCGGGUCUGCAUUCGAUACGGGCAGGCUGGAGUGUGGUAGGGGAGAUCGGAAUUCCUGGUGUAGCGGUGAAAUGCGCAGAUAUCAGGAGGAACACCGGUGGCGAAGGCGGAUCUCUGGGCCAUUACUGACGCUGAGGAUCGAAAGCGUGGGGAGCGAACAGG